rnacentral:rRNA from 1 species
UAAAAAGUUACUCAAGCGCACACAAAGGAUGCCUUGACAUGCAAUACCGAAGAAGGACGUGAUGAGCUGCGAAAAGCUCCGGGGAACAGCCAAAUAUGUUUUGAUCCGGAGAUGUCCGAAUGGGGAAACCCGGUUAGAGUAAUGUCUAAUCACCGCUAUCUGAAUAUAUAGGAUAGUGAGUAGGUAACCGCCUGAACUGAAACAUCUUAGUAGGGCGAGGAAGAGAAAGUAAACAACGAUUCCGGUAGUAGUGGCGAGCGAAUCCGGAACAGCCCAAACCUAUUUUGCUUUUGCCUGGUAAUUUAUUACUGGCAAAUAAGUUGGUAGACGAAUGUAAAUUAGGGGUUGUGACAUUGCAAACAUCCUUGUGUGGGAGUCCGCUUCGGCGGGAGUCCACACGAGGCAGCUAGAUCUACCAGUGUCUAGCAUAAGGUCAAAAAUUGAUGAGGCGAGCAGAAGCAGUUGGAAAGCUGCGCCAUAGACGGUGAUAGCCCGGUACGCCAAGUUUCAUCAACCUUAUAUUUGCAAAGAGCUUGCUGUCGGUUACGUAGCUUCGGCUGUGUAUCUAGAGCAAACUCGGUUGUCGAGUAAGUCGGGACACGUGAAACCCUGACUGAAUCUGGGGGGUCCACCCUCCAAGGCUAAAUAUAUUGCAUGAUCGAUAGAGAACAAGUACCGCGAGGGAAAGGUUAAAAGAACCCCGGGAGGGGAGUGAAAUAGAACCUGAAAUUGUGUGCGUACAAGGAGUCGGAGCCCGCUCUUCAUAGAUGAAGAGUAUUUGGCAGAAAACAGUUAACAGAUGACAUAAAUUUAGCAUAAAACAUGUAACAGGUAUCAGACUUCAGUGUCUGCGAUCUAAAACUGGCUAAAUUUCUGCUCAACGAUAUCUGCUACUUGCUAAAUGGAGCUCAUCAUUUGUGAUGAGCGGGUGACGGCGUGCUUUUUGUAGAACGAUCCAACGAGUUAUUUGGCAUGGCAAGCUUAAGUCAUAUGACGUAAGCCAAGCGAAAGCGAGUCUGAAUAGGGCGCAUAGUCAUGUUGAAUAGACCCGAAACCAGGUGACCUAACCAUGGGCAGGUUGAAGCGUCGGUAAAACGACGUGGAGGACCGAACCGUAGCGAGUUGCAACACGCCCGGAUGACCUGUGGUUAGCGGUGAAAUGCCAAUCGAACCUGGAGAUAGCUGGUUCUCCUCGAAAUAGCUUUAGGGCUAGCGUUGUACGGUAACAUGUGGGGGUAGAGCUCUGUUUUGGACUGGGGGUCGUAAGAUUACCCACCCUUGACAAACUACGAAUACCACAUGCGGAACUACAGCAGUCAGAACGGCGGGGCUAAGCUCGUCGCUCGAAAGGGAAACAGCCCAGAUCACCAUCUAAGGUCCCCAAGUCUAUGCUAAGUGGGAAACGAGGUGGGGUUUCUUAAACAACUAGGAUGUUGGCUUAGAAGCAGCCAUUCAUUUAAAGAGUGCGUAACAGCUCACUAGUCAAGAGACCCUGCGCGGAAAAUGUAACGGGGCUAAGCAUAGCACCGAAGAUGUGAAUUUCUAGAUUUAUCUAGGAGUGGUAGAGGAGCGUUCCUCUCUGCGUUGAAGCUUGACCGCGAGGUCUGAGUGGAGCGUGAGGAAGUGAGAAUGUUGGAAUGAGUAACCAUAAGGCAGGUGAGAAUCCUGCCCACCGAAAGAGCAAGGUUUCCUGGGCCACGGUAAUCGUCCCAGGGUUAGUCGGUCCUAAGCCGAGGCGCGUAGCGUAGGCGAUGGACAACAGGUUAAUAUUCCUGUACUGGCAUGUAUUUGUUAUAUGUGCGCGGCAUAGUAGUAGGAGCGGAUUCAUGGUUAUAUCCGUCUAAGUACGAGAAACACGUACGAAUGAAACGACCAUCAGGUUGAAUUCCUAUGAAAGUGCUGACUAGAAAAGCAAUAUAACGCGUGGUACAUGCCAUCCGUACCGCAAACCGACACAGGUGCUCAGGUCGAGAAGACCAAGGUGUACGAGUGAUUCUUCGUUAAGGAACUCGGCAAACAAGCGACCGUAACUUCGGGAUAAGGUCUGCCCCCUCACUCUGUCUAUGACAGGUGAGUAUGCCAGUUUUCUUUUUGAAAACUAUGAUUGCUACUGCAAGUUUAUAACUUCUUGCAGCUAGCAUGUCUACCAAGAUCUUUUGAGACAUAUCAGAAAGAAAGCUGUCCCAAACACACUAUUUACAAAGCUGCUUCAGGACCCGAAAGGGAAAAGAGCAGCCCGAGAAAAACCGCAAGGUUUGUCUCAUAGGUAGAGUGAGGGGGCCGCAGCUAAGGAACCCAUGCAACUGUUUACCAAAAACACAGGUCUGUGCUAACACGAAAGUGGAUGUAUACGGGCUGACUCCUGCCCAGUGCUGGAAGGUUAAGGGGAGUUGUGUAUGCAGCGAACUGAAGCCCCAGUGAACGGCGGCGGUAACUAUAACCGUCCUAAGGUAGCGAAAUUCCUUGUCAGGUAAGUUCUGACCCGCACGAAUGGAGUAAUGAUAUGGGUACUGUCUCAACGAAGAGCUCGGUGAAAGUGCAUUGACGGUAAAGAUGCCGUCUGUCCGCAGCAGGACGAAAAGACCCCGUGCAGCUUUACUAUAGCUUGACAUUGAGCCGGGUUAUAACAUGUGUAGUAUAGGUGAGAGGCUUUGAAGCAGAGACGCUAGUCUCGGUGGAGCCACCAGUGAAAUAUCACCCUUGUUAUGAUCUUGUUCUUACGGGAGCCACAAAUUGGUAAUGAGACAAAACUACAUAAUGUUUUGAGUUCCUCGUUAUUAGUUUCUGGCUUCCGGACCGUGUCUGGUGGGUAGUUUAACUGGGGCGGUUGCCUCCUAAAGAGUAUCGGAGGCGUUCAAAGGUUAGCUAACUACGGAUGGAAAUCGUAGUGAUAGUGUAUACGCAUAAGCUAGCUUGACUGUGAGGCCUACAAGCCGAGCAGGGACGAAAGUCGGAGUAAGUUUUCCGCUGUCAGUACAUUUGUACAAGAGUGUGGUAUCGGCAGCGCUUUCGGAUAAAAGUUACGCCGGGGAUAACAGGCUUAUAGCAUCCAAUAGUUCACAUAGACGAUGCUGUUUGGCACCUCGAUGUCGGCUCAUCUCAUCCUGGGGCUGAAGCAGGUCCCAAGGGUCCGGCUGUUCGCCGGUUAAAGAGGUACGUGAGCUGGGUUCAGAACGUCGUGAGACAGUUCGGUUUAUAUCCGCUGUGGACGCAAGGAAAUUUGAGAGGAUCUACCCCUAGUACGAGAGGACCGGGGCGGACGCACCGCUGGUGUAUCAGUUGUUCUACCAAGGGCAUUGCUGAGUAGCUAUCGUGCGGAAUAGAUAAGCGCUGAAAGCAUAUUAAGCGCGAAACUAGCCUCAAGAUUAGAUUUCCCUAUGAGGGUCGUGAAAGACUAUCACGUUGAUAGGCGCAAGGUGUAAGUGCAGUAAUGUAUUCAGCCGAAGCGUACUAAUCGCCCCAUUGACUUUUUACG